rnacentral:sRNA from 14 species
AAGACUAUACUUUCAGGGAUCAUUUCUUUAGUUGUUGACUUGAGAAAUGUGUUUCUAAAGAGUUUGGUCUCGCUGCCACGAUGAAGAGUGAAGAUGUUUCCUUCAGAGCAGGAAUUUGGUGGAAAGACUCUGUUUCUUCUCCACUGUUGAUGAUUGUUCAG